UCGAGAAUCUUCCCCAAUGGACGAAAGUCUGAGGGAGCGACGCCGCGUGAGGGAUGAAGGCCCUUUGGGUUGUAAACCUCUGUUAGGGGGAAAGAACAGCAGUGGAAGCAACAUGUCCAUUGCCUGACGUUACCCCCAGAGAAAGCUCCGGCCAACUCCGUGCCAGCAGCCGCGGUAAUACGGGGGGAGCAAGCGUUGUCCGGAAUCAUUGGGCGUAAAGGGCGUGUAGGCGGUUAGGCAAGUCGAAGGUGAAAUCCCACGGCUCAACCGUGGAACUGCGUUCGAAACUGCCCGACUGGAGUGCGGGAGAGGUGUGCGGAAUUCCUGGUGUAGCGGUGGAAUGCGUAGAUAUCAGGAAGAACACCGGUGGCGAAGGCGGCACACUGGCCCAGCACUGACGCUGAGGCGCGAAAGCGUGGGGAGCGAACG
rnacentral:rRNA from 1 species